CCUACGGGUGGCAGCAGUGAGGAAUAUUGGUCAAUGGGCGUAAGCCUGAACCAGCCAAGUCGCGUGAGGGAUGAAGGUUCUAUGGAUCGUAAACCUCUUUUAUAAGGGAGUAAAGUGUGGGACGCGUCCUGUUUUGUAUGUACCUUAUGAAUAAGGAUCGGCUAACUCCGUGCCAGCAGCCGCGGUAAUACGGAGGAUUCGAGCGUUAUCCGGAUUUAUUGGGUUUAAAGGGUGCGUAGGCGGACUUGUAAGUCAGCGGUGAAAGUCUGUGGCUCAACCAUAGAACUGCCGUUGAAACUGGGGUUCUUGAGUAUGUGUGAGGCAGGCGGAAUGCGUGGUGUAGCGGUGAAAUGCAUAGAUAUCACGCAGAACCCCGAUUGCGAAGGCAGCCUGCCAAGCCAUGACUGACGCUGAUGCACGAAAGCGUGGGGAUCAAACAGGAUUAGAUACCCGUGUAGUC
rnacentral:rRNA from 1 species